CUCCACUAAAGGUGACCAUAUUACCAGAAUCGCACACUGUUUCGGUACGGACUGCGCAAGCGGUACCAAAUCGAGGCAAACUCUGAAUACUAGAUAUGACCCAAAAAUAACAGGGGUAAUGGUCGGCCAGUGAGACGAUGGGGGAUAAGCUUCAUCGUCGAGAGGGAAACAGCCUGGAUCACCAGCUAAGGCCUCUAAAUAACCGCUCAGUGAUAAAGGAGGGGGGGGUGCAAAGACAACCAGGAGUUUUGCCUAGAAGCAGCCACCCUUUCAAGAGUGCGUAAUAGCUCAUUGAUCGAGCGCCCUUGCGGUGAAGAUGAAUGGGGCUAAGUGAUCUGCGGAAGCUGUGGGAUUCAAAAUGCAUUGGUUGGGGAG
rnacentral:ncRNA from 1 species